rnacentral:rRNA from 1 species
ACUUGGAUAACCGUAGUAAUUCUAGAGCUAAUACAUGCAUAAAAUCCCGACUUCCGGAAGGGGUGUAUUUAUUAUAAAAAACCACCUCCAUGUCUGAGCAUUUUUGGGGGAAUCAUAAUAACUUUUCGGAACCCAACGGCUUUCGGCCGGCAUGAAUCAUUCAAGUUUCCGCCCUAUCCACUUUCCAUGGGAGUGGAAUGGACUACCCUGGGGGGAACGGGGAAACAAAAAUAAGGGUUCCAUUUCCGAAAAGGAGCCCGAAAAAACGCUACCACCUCCCAAGGAGGGCACCGGGGCCUAAAUUACCCCAUCCUGACCCCGGGGGGGAGGGACCAAAAAUAACAAUGGCGGACUCUUUUAGUUUUGGCAUUGGAAUGAAAAACAUUUAAAUCCCUUAACCAAGAAUCAUU